AUGGGCCGGCAGAUCUCAUCACCAUGCCGCAGCCAAGAUGGGGCUGGGAGGGAAUUGCUGAAAGAAUGUCCCAAACACAAAAUUCUAGAUUCUCUACUGAAGGCAUAUAGGUACACACAGAUCUUAGUUGGAAGACCAUCCGCCAUCGUCUCCGCCGACUAUUUGCCGGAAGACCAUCAGUCGUCACCUAGACCUACUUCGCGGCAGGUAUCUUUUUUCUUUGUGCAAAUUAUGACGGAGCUAUGUCUGAUUUACAGUUUUUACAACUAG
rnacentral:rRNA from 1 species